GAAAUAGAAAAACUAAACUUUGUAGACAGAUAUUUUUGCCAAUGAAAUAUCUUGUCAGAAAGUUUUGGACAAUUUGGUAAGGGGAUAAAUAAUUUGAAUCUUGGGUGAAAAACUGUAAAAAAAAAAAAAAUAGCUGAGAUUUAUCAGAAAUUCACCUGCCUUUCUCUGUGGGAAUUAAUGGACUGGAAUUGCUGUAGUAAGAAGAGUGAGUUCUGUUCUUAAAUGGGAAUUAGUAGGGACUCAUAGAAGGUGAUGUUGGACUUCCUCUCUGCACAAUUCAUUUCUCUCAUCUUUUCUACAUCAGUACUUUGCUAGAGAUAAAAUAAAUACUUAACAUACAUAAAUAUAUUUUUUUGCUGUCUUCUCUCCAGGGUUGCUGUUAAGCACAGAGUGUGUUUUCUGAAAGGCUCUUCUUUACAUAAGAAGGUCAAACGUAUGGACUUUCUGUUUCCAAAGAAGGAGCAUAGUGUUACAGGCAAACAGCUCCUGAGUCUGCUAUCCAGAAGAAUGCUUGGCUUCUUGACAUUGUCCCAUUCUCUCAAGAGAGUCCCAACAGGCAGGAGAGGAAGGAAAUGGACCCAGGGAUACUUACCCUGCGGUAAGUUCAAGGUCAAGCCCAUGCUGCUUUCCACAUGCUGCUGCUGCUGCUAAGUCACUUCAGUCGUGUCUGACUCUGUGUGACCCCAUAGAUGGCAGCCCACCAGGCUCCCCCGUCCCUGGGAUUCUUCAGGCAAGAACACUGGAGUGGAUUGCCGUUUCCUUCUCCAAUGCAUGAAAGUGAAAAGGGAAAGUGAAGUCGCUCAGUCGUGUCCGACUCUUCAUGACCCCAUGAACUGCAGCCCACCAGGCUCCCCCAUCCAUGCGAUUUUCCAGGCAAGAGUACUGGAGUGGGUUGCCAUUGCCUUCUCCAGCUUGCCACAUAACACACCAAUAAACUGAGAGACAGGUGGGGCAAGAAAUUGCGACUUUAUUUGCGAAGCCAGCAGACCAAGAAGAUGGUGGACUAGUGUCCCAAAUAACCAUCUUAUCCAAAUUAGAAAUCAGGUGUGUUUUUUGUUGUUGUUGUUGUUUUUUAAUACUGAAAGGGGAGGGAGUGUGACUUUGGUAUAGGAAUCCUUUGCUCUUGAAGCUGCCCAAGUAUUAGAUCUGGUCACAAUGUUCCAGUAAACCUCCUACAAGACUAUGUUAUUUUCCAUUCUGCAACUUUUUAUAAGGGUCAGAUCCUUGAGAAUGGGCUAUCAUGUUUAUUUCAUGCUCUAACCAGCAUUCUUUUACAAAAGUACAGAACCAGCCUGACUAAGCACAGGCAACAGAUCACAAGGGUUGGAGCUAAAGGAAUAGACCUAAUAUGGAGUUAGGUUUUUUCCUUCUCUGUUACACCAUCUCUUCCUGUCUUUGGACAAACACUACUGUGGCAACUCAUGGUGGUUCUUACAAGUUCUUAGAGCUUACUUUUUU
rnacentral:lncRNA from 1 species